GCGUGUUGCCCUGGCAACGAGGCUUCGGCCUGCGGUCCUGUCAAGCGAGGACCACAGGGAGCGAGAGGGAGCCUUCCUUGCCUAGGCAGGAGUUGAUAGAAAGUUGAGGGGGUGCGAGGGUUGGCUGAAUUCCCCCCUACCAAGACAAGCAAAAACUCCCUGCAAGUAGAAGAUGAGCACACAGGCAAUAAAACACUUCUUAGGCUCUGACUGUGCCCUCGUGUCAUCCUAACUGGAGAUGGAACCCUGGCUGUGCUGUGUGCCCCAGCCUGGCACAGAAUUGAAUACGCUGGCAAACAUAACAAGGAAGAGCUGUCCCGAUUCCUGAGUUUUCCACUAGAGCCAGUUUUCCUUGAAGAUUCAGUGAGCUCAAGUCUCUCUCAAUACGUUUUUGGAGCCUUGUAAAGAAUGGGGAGACAAAUGAAGAUUACCAGUUGAUAGGAAUCACAGGUGGGCAGAUUCCUGUUGCGUUCAUGCCCAGUGUGCAGGCUUCCCACUGGCAUCUAAUCAACUACAGGAAGAACAGAAUGCUGGGCUGGAUGGGCCAUAGGCCUGAUCCAGGAAUCUUGUCUUACGUUCCUAUGAAGACCACCUCAGAACCUGCUCCAGUUGGACUUUUCCCCACACCACAGGGCUAUCUACAGUCAGGGCUUGUAAACACUACAGCUUUACAGCACACAUGAAACAUAUUUCCCCCCUCCAAUAAUUCUCCAUGCUGUAGUUACAAUUCCCAGCAACCCUUAACAAUACAAGCAGCAACCAUUUUGCAUGUGCCCAACUGAUGCACAACCACUGACACCUGGGUCCUUUUGGAUCUGGAAGAGGGCAGAAUGGGAGCAUAACAGGGCGAAGUGGAUUUAUGUGUCGUCCACCAAUGCACAGGGAAGCCAGGAACGAACUCCCCCGUGCAAAAUGGUUGCCACCUGUGCUUCAAAGACCACCUCUCCCUACAUCUGGACCCUGUGAUCAUAAUCCGAGGCCUUUCUUUGUGUGUCCCCUGCAUGAGAGGUCCGAAAGGCAGCAACACAAGAGCGGGCCUUUUCUGCAGUUGCUCCCUACUUAUAGGAUACUCUCCCCAGGAAAGCUUGCCUGGCACCUUCAUUACAUACCUUUAGGCGGCAAGCAAAUACAUUUCUCUAUAACCAGGCCUUGGGCUGAUAACAUUCUAUGGCCUUUUAAAAGUGUUUUUUUAAUGUAUUUUGUGUUUUAAUUUUGUGUUUUUAUGUUGUGAACCACCUUGUGA